GACGAACGCUGGCGGCGUGCUUAACACAUGCAAGUCGAGCGGAAAGGCCACUUCGGUGGUACUCGAGCGGCGAACGGGUGAGUAACACGUGAGUAAUCUGCCCCUGGCUUUGGGAUAGCCACCGGAAACGGUGAUUAAUACCGGAUACGACACAUUCUCGCAUGAGUUUGUGUGGAAAGUUUUUCGGCCAGGGAUGUGCUCGCGGCCUAUCAGCUUGAUGGUGAGGUAAUGGCUCACCAUGGCUUCGACGGGUAGCCGGCCUGAGAGGGUGACCGGUCACACUGGGACUGAGACACGGCCCAGACUCCUACGGGAGGCAGCAGUGGGGAAUAUUGGACAAUGGGCGGAAGCCUGAUCCAGCAACGCCGCGUGAGGGAUGACGGCCUUCGGGUUGUAAACCUCUUUCAGUACCGACGAAGCGCAAGUGACGGUAGGUACAGAAGAAGCACCGGCCAACUACGUG
rnacentral:rRNA from 1 species